AUUGAACGCUGGCGGCAUGCCUUACACAUGCAAGUCGAACGGCAGCAUGGAGAGCUUGCUCUCUGAUGGCGAGUGGCGAACGGGUGAGUAAAGCAUCGGAACGUACCGUGUAGUGGGGGAUAACGUAGCGAAAGUUACGCUAAUACCGCAUACGCACUGAGGUGGAAAGCAGGGGAUCGUAAGACCUUGCGCUAUACGAGCGGCCGAUGUCAGAUUAGCUAGUUGGUAGGGUAAAGGCCUACCAAGGCGACGAUCUGUAGCGGGUCUGAGAGGAUGAUCCGCCACACUGGGACUGAGACACGGCCCAGACUCCUACGGGAGGCAGCAGUGGGGAAUUUUGGACAAUGGGGGCAACCCUGAUCCAGCCAUGCCGCGUGAGUGAAGAAGGCCUUCGGGUUGUAAAGCUCUUUCGGCCGGGAAGAAAUCGCACAGGCUAAUACCCUGUGUGGAUGACGGUACCGGCAUAAGAAGCACCGGCUAACUACGUGCCAGCAGCCGCCGUAAAAC
rnacentral:rRNA from 1 species